UUAAAGACUUAAUAUUUCACAUAUUUUUAAAUCCCACUUCAUUGAGAUAUGUAACUGUUUCUUUCCCAUCACUUAACAAAAGUCCUUUAUUCUGUUAUCCUCCCAUACACACUUCUGUACCAAUGUGUAUCAGUGUGUAUCACUGUUCUUUUUACGGUGUCAAGGUCAUUGCCUUGACAAGUCAUAUGAGACCACUCAGAAAAGAGCAUGAUUUUAUAAACACCAACAUUUUCCUAUACAUGCUCUGAAACAUUAUUAAUUUCCUUCAGGCAGUGUGUUCAGAUUAAUGUUUUUGAAGAGUAUCAUGUGACCAUUCUAUAUUACACAGACAGGGAGUCCCUCAAAGGUCAUGUUUUGUAGGAGAAACACCAAGACAUCCAAAGUUUAACCUAAUCAACUUACUACAUUCAUUCUAAAACUUAACCAUGACUGAGAUAUGUAAGAUUUUUGUUUCAGAUAUGAUUUGUUUCAUUUUCCAAAAUGCAUCCCUAUCUGCAUUUUAUAUUGGCCCUUUAGCAUGAAAGAAUGUGCCUGAAGCCAGGCAUGGUGAUGUGUGUCUAUAAUCCUAGCAUAUUGGGAGGCUGAGGCAGGAAGAUCUCAAGUUCAGGCCCAGUUUGGACAAUUUAGGAAUUUAGGGAGACCCUGUGUCAAAUUUUUUAAAAAUUUAAAAGGCUGGGGUUGUACACCAGUGCAAAGGCCUGUUCAAUCCCUGUUACAAAAAAAAGAAUGUGCCUAAGAGGAAACCAUACUAAGGAUAUUUUAACCAUCAGUGCCAUCAAAUCUGUGUCUGUUUGAUUAUUAGUUUAUAAUGCUUAAUAUUGAUUUGGCUAUCAAAUUAACUUUUCUUUUGUUAAAAGACUCUGUAAAUUAGAAAUGUGCUAUGUUAUUUAGCAGACCAAAGGUAGUUUGGAGAAUGGCAACAAGACUUAAAUAUGAAAGCUACCUAAAAUAAUGUCCUAUCGCUUCCACUCAAUGUUUCUUUGCCAAAUAAAGUUCAGUUUACUCUGAAUUCUAUGCCAAUAUGCAAAAGUUACAGUGAACCUUGGUUUUAAUAUACCUCGACAAAUGUAGUUCUAUAGUCAGAAUACCAAUUUUAGCAUCUUUACAAAAUACAGAGGAGACUUUGUCAACCAGAAAAAUCUAGAACCUGGCAAUUCAAAUACCAUUCAAAGCAAAUAUUUAAUCUAAUAACUAGAAUUAAAUGUUAGGCCUCAGGGUAUCUCAACAUCUACUAAGCAAGUGUUAAUAAUAGGAUGAGUCCUCUGUAUGCAGAGCAAAGAGAAGUACACCACAUUUACAUAUACAGAAUCUGGCUUUGUCUGAAAGGCUCACACUGUUACAGCAAGCAAAGAAUUUAUUUUCAAUGUGCUAAACAUCCACACAAUAUUCUAUAUUUUAUACAUUGCCUUUUAUAGCUAAUAGUACCAAGUACCAUGUUUAUUUCAGUUAAUCUUUGAACUAAUCUUAUGAAUGAGGUACUUUUACCUCGUUUUGCAGAUGAGGAAAGGAAGAGUAAAUAGAUUGUCUCAUGGAAAUUCAUUCGGCAGAGAUUUUCCUCAUGCAGUCCGACUCAGAGGCUGUUCUUAGCCAGGAGCAGCACCUGAUCCCAGGUGUGCCCUGCAUGAGAUGGCAGGAUGGAGAGUAGUAUCUGUAUUGCACAUGGCAAAUCUGAGGUCCCAGGACUUCAGACUCUACCAGGUACAGCAUUCACACCCCAAGCCUGACACUAGACUCUGCUGCUCCCUCUGGAAAUUGAUGUGGGCUUCAGUGCUGCUGCUGCCACAGCCAAAAUUGAGUCCCUGCAGUCUUGGCUUGUCCUGUGUCAUGCCAAGAGUCAACAGCAUCUGAAUGGUUGCACCUAGAUCACGUCUGAGCCCUAGCUGCAAGGGAGGCUGGGAAAGUGAGCAUCUGACGCCUAUGGAAUUGUUGGUCUCUGCCUCCUGUCAGUACUCAGGAGGUAGAGAAAUCCACAGCCAAGAGAUCACUUUAGAUGCUGGGUGAUGUCAAGGGUAACAGAAGGUGCAAAAAGGAUGACAAGUCCCCACUAGAACUUUCUUUCAAUACUCCUAAGCCCUAAUUAAGAGCUCCACUCAACAUGUAUCUAGGACAUGGCUGGAAAAAGCCUUGUGCUCAACUUUGAGAAGAAUUAAAUUAAAGGAAUGAUUACUAAGGGUGGGCAAGGUCUAGAGAACCACAAGAGACAGUGCAGCACUCCAGAACUGGCAACAGUAGGGAGCUUUCAACAUCCUGGGCCUGAAGAGGCAAGGGGAGGAAGCAUUUCCCAGAGCCAGAGGCAGGACUGCCUAACUGUGUGGAGAGAAUCAUUUAAAAUAAACGACCCAGCCCUGGGCACCUCCUCACCAAGAGGACAAGAGGAGCAAAUGCCACUCCUUCCUUUCCUGUGGUUCCCUGUUGAAGCUCCCCACCAGCCUGGCCAGAGACCAGAGGGCCAGGGAGCACAUGCAGGUAUGAGCUGCAGAAGAAGACUGGAGAGCAAAUGUGGAGAAAUAAACAGAAGAGGUUCUGCACUUACGGCUUCAUCGAUAUGUCACUGGCAUUUUUUCUUUUUUAAAUUCAGUAUCUCCUUUGGGGAUGUCCCUUUACAUUUUCAGUAGCUCAGUCCACAAGAUCAAUGGACUUAAAAUGUUCUUCUCAUCCUGAAUUUAACGAGAUGCUAUUUCCCCCUUGUUUGCUAUUUAGAAUGUUCUAUUGUAUGGUUCAACAAUCUGCACCAUUAAAGGUUAGCAAAUCCCAACCAGGACAUUUUUUUUCCCUUUCUGGGCUUGGGGAAAAAGGAGAAGAGGUGUGACCUGCACAGACAGCAUCAAAAAUCUCCUUUUCUGAAUCUUCCUGCAGAAAUCCUCUCUAUGUAUUGUCUCAGCACAGGAGAUUUCCUGUUGUUCAUCCCUGCCUCCUCCUCAUUAAUAUCCAGCCUUUUAAAUAAAGCAUGUACAAGAAUAGUCAAUAAAAUAAACCCCACAUGAUUACCAACAGUUGCAGGCCCAUGAGUUCCCCAAGGAUUCACCCACUGUAACCCCUCAUCCUUUGAAAGUACAUGAUAACUUGUGUUAGAGUAAUCAGUUAUUGGGCCAGGGAUUUAGCUCAGUGGUUCCAGUGCCUGCCUCCCAAGCACAAGCUCCUGAGUUUGAUCCCUGGUACCAAAAAAAAAAAGUCACCAGUUAUUUAGUUUGGGAAAGAAUACCAAGGGGAAACCUUCAUCAUCAUCUUCAAGUAUAUGAUGUGUUCCUUCCCACAGUAUGGAAAGCAAGUGUUUUCCCUGUCCUCAAUCAAGGGAGUGAGUACAGCACGAGGAAUAAAAUAGAAAUAAAAUAAUAAAAUGGUUGCACUUUGAAACUACAAUGUUAAGUGAAAUAAAUCAGACACACAAACUUGAA